UGAGUGCUUUGAACAAAUGGGAUGUGA
rnacentral:sRNA from 1 species